AGCGAACGCUGGCGGCAGGCUUAACACAUGCAAGUCGAACGGCAGCACAGUAAGAGCGUGCUCUUACGGGGGGCGAGUGGCGGACGGGUCAGGAAUACAUCGGAAUCUACUUUUUCGUGGGGGAUAACGUAGGGAAACUUACGCUAAUACCGCAUACGACCUACGGGUGAAAGUAGGGGAGCUUCGGACCUUGCGCGAUUGAACGCGCCGAUGCCGGAUUGGCUAGUUGGCGGGGUAACGGCUUACCAAGGCAGCGAUGCGUAGCCGAACGGAGAGGGUGAUCGGCGACACGGGAGCUGAGCCGCGGACCAGACUCCUACGGGAGGCCGCAGUAGGGAAUGUGACGCAAUGGGCGGAAGCCUGACGGAGCGGCGCCGCGUGAGUGAUGAAGGUCUUCGGAUCGUAAAACUCUCUUCUUGGGGAAGAACAAAUGUGUACGUAACUAUGCACGGCUUGACGGUACCUGGUCAAGAAGCACCGGCUAACUACGUG
rnacentral:rRNA from 1 species